rnacentral:rRNA from 1 species
UGGGGAAUAUUGCACAAUGGGCGCAAGCCUGAUGCAGCAACGCCGCGUGAAGGAAGAAGGUUUUCGGAUUGUAAACUUCUAUCAACGGGGACGAAAAAAUGACGGUACCUGAAUAAGAAGCCCCGGCUAACUACGUGCCAGCAGCCGCGGUAAUACGUAGGGGGCAAGCGCUAUCCGGAAUUACUGGGUGUAAAGGGUGAGUAGGCGGCAUGGUAAGCCAGAUGUGAAAGCCCGCAGCUUAACUGCGGGACUGCAUUUGGAACUACUAAGCUAGAGUGCAGGAGAGGAAAGCGGAAUUCCUAGUGUAGCGGUGAAAUGCGUAGAUAUUAGGAAGAACACCGGUGGCGAAGG